rnacentral:rRNA from 1 species
GACGAACGCUGGCGGCGUGCCUAAUACAUGCAAGUCGAGCGAAGUUUUUCUGGUGCUUGCACCGGAAAAACUUAGCGGCGAACGGGUGAGUAACACGUAAAGAACCUGCCUCAUAGACUGGGACAACUAUUGGAAACGAUAGCUAAUACCGGAUAACAGCAUUAACUGCAUGGUUGAUGUUUAAAAGUUGGUUUUGCUAACACUAUGAGAUGGCUUUGCGGUGCAUUAGCUAGUUGGUGGGGUAAAGGCCUACCAAGGCGACGAUGCAUAGCCGACCUGAGAGGGUGAUCGGCCACACUGGGACUGAGACACGGCCCAGACUCCGACGGGAGGCAGCAGUAGGGAAUCUUCCGCAAUGGGCGAAAGCCUGACGGAGCAACGCCGCGUGAGUGAAGAAGGAUUUCGGUUCGUAAAGCUCUGUUGUUAGGGAAGAAUGAUUGUGUAGUAACUAUACACAGUAGAGACGGUACCUAACCAGAAAGCCACGGCUAACUACGUG